rnacentral:tRNA from 1 species
GGUGGCCGAGUAGUACGGCGAGUUGUAGCCUCGUGUACGGGACAGGAGCCCCCCAACCA